AUGGCGAUCAAGUACCCAUGCUUUCGAGAUACCUUCCAGCGCUAUUCACACCGGGCUCGACGACAUCCCACCAUGAAGACCAAGCGCCACCUCUUCAUAGGGGCAAUGGACUUCGGAACCCCAUACUCCACUGUGAACGCCGUGAAGAAGCUCAUGAAAAACGCGUCUAAGAGGAUUGGGCACCACAACUUCGCCAAGAAGAAUAUCGACGUCGUCAACAUGAAGUGUCGCCUACAAGAAGAGCGCAUAGUGCAUUGCCAAUAA
rnacentral:rRNA from 1 species